rnacentral:rRNA from 1 species
ACGCACGCUGGCGGCAGGCCUCACACCUGCAAGUCGAACGAAGUCUUCGGACUUAGUGGCGCACGGGUGAGUAACACGUGGGAAUAUACCUUACGCUGGGGGAUAACAUCGGGAAACUGAUGCUAAUACCGCAUACGCCCUUCGGGGGAAAGAUUUAUCGGCGAAAGAUUAGCCCGCGUCCGAUUAGCUAGUUGGUGAGGUAAUGGCUCACCAAGGCUCCGAUCGGUAGCUGGUCUGAGAGGAUGACCAGCCACACUGGGACUGAGACACGGCCCAGACUCCUACGGGAGGCAGCAGUGGGGAAUAUUGGACAAUGGGCGCAAGCCUGAUCCAGCCAUGCCGCGUGAGUGAUGAAGGCCUUAGGGUUGUAAAGCUCUUUCACCCACGACGAUGAUGACGGUAGUGGGAGAAGAAGCCCCGGCUAACUUCGU